UACGUAGGGUGCAAGCGUUGUCCGGAAUUAUUGGGCGUAAAGAGCUCGUAGGCGGUUUGUCGCGUCUGCUGUGAAAUCCCAGGGCUUAACCCUGGGCCUGCAGUGGGUACGGGCAAACUAGAGUGCGGUAGGGGAGAUCGGAAUUCCUGGUGUAGCGGUGAAAUGCGUAGAUAUCUGGAGGAACACCGGUGGCGAAGGCGGCAUCCUGGACCGAGAUUGACGCUGAUGCGCGAAAGCCAGGGGAGCAAACGGG
rnacentral:rRNA from 1 species